rnacentral:tRNA from 1 species
GAGGAUGUAGCUCAGUGGUAGAGCACUUACCUGGAAUGUUGGAGACCCUGGGUUUAUCCUCA